GGAAAGGCCGAGCGCCACCCGCCCCGGGAGUCUCCAGAGCAGCGCGCGGGGCAGACCUCCUCGGGUCCUCCGGCGCUUCGGUCUCCGGAGACGCCCGGCCUCCUGAAGGGUUCGGCUUGUCCUCCUCUGGCGCUCAGCUCCCUCUGGCGGCCGGGCUGGCAGGACCUCAGCGCCCAGCCCUUCCGUCUUGUUACGUCCAGGGGUCUCACUCUGUGUCUCAGGCUGGAGUACAGUGGUGCAAUUGUAGAUGGCUGCAGCCCUCGACCUCCUGGGCUCAAGUGAUCCUCCUGCCUUAGCCUCUCGAGUAGCUGGGAGUACAGAUGCACACCACCACACCCAGGCCUAGAAUGAAGAAACCUGCAGUUGGGAAGCAUGAAUUUACCACCUAUUAAGGGCACUGGUUUACUGAGACAAUUCAAAACACACAUUCAUUUUGUGUGCUUAUGAAAUAUAUCCCAAGGAUCCCCUUUUAUUUUUCAGAAUUGUGGCUUGCAUUGUAAGAGGAGCCUGUGAAUUCAGAGGCAAGUCUGCUGAGGACCGAAUGUUCCUGUCCAUAAAAACAGAAGUCUGGCCUGGGCUCCUCUCUUGGGUGAAUUUGCAAUGCCAGAUCCUCUCUAUCAGUUUGGUUUUGUUUCUUGUAUCUCUGGGAAGGCAGGCAGACAGCACGGUCACCUGUGAAUGCAGCUACAAUUGGCUUAGCUGCCUCACUGAUAAAUGUGCCCCCAGUAAGCUACAAAGGGAUUACCAGCGUUCUCAGCAGCUAAAGGGAACUGGUGAAGAUUUCCCCAGCAAAAAGUAGAAGCUCAGUGUUUCAUAGAUGAAGACUGGGGAGAUUGCAAAAGACCCAUCCAGGAGUCUCACUUUGUCGCCCAGGCUGGAGUACAGUGGUGCGAUCUUGGCUCUCUGCAACCUCUGCCUCCCAGGUUCAAGUAAUUCUCCUGCCUCAGCCUCCCGAGUAGCUGGUACUACAGGCACACAUUUGUAGAGAUGGUGUUUCCCCAUGUCAUCCAGGCUGGUCUGGAACUCCUGGGAUCAAGUAAUCCACCCGCCUCGGCCUCCCAAAGUGCUGGGAUUACAGACGUGAGCCACCACGCCCUGCCAAUAAAAAGAUUAUCUCCAGAUGCUGGACUAAGGUACAGAGAGGUCAAGUAACUUGCCCAAAGUCACACAACUAUCAAGGAGCAGAGCUGAGGUUUGAUGUCACAGAGGGGUCAAGAUACAGUCAUAUUUAUUAAACAGGCCUACUUCAUGCUUUGAACAGAAGAGUUUUAUCAGUUUUAAAUGUUUCUUCAUUUCUAUACCUUCUUUUAUCUGAGGAGCUUAAGCCAUUUUGUAGAGGCAUUAAGUAUUGCCUCAGUCUUAAUAUGUGAGACAAGGGUGUGAGGAAUAUAGAGAUUCAUAAAAUAAUCCCCAUCUUCAAGGAACUCACAGUCAGGAAGAACAGAGCCUGCAACACAAAUAAUUGCAAUAUAGUAGAAGUGCCAAUAGGAGCUCUAUGAAGGGCGUGAAACAGGAAAGGCUACAUAGAGGAGAUGGCAGGACACUCUGUGGAUUGUGACCUGUUGGUGGGCCAUGAAAUCAAUUUGGGGGUUUGAGAGCAUCAUUCUUUUAAUAAAACAGAAGAGAAUCAUCUGCAAUAAGGGAACCCAUGGAUGAAUACCAUCUGGUCCUGGUGAUUUACUGCACAGAGUCCCUCAAGUUGCUCCAUACCUUUCUCCUGAGAGACUGAAGAAUCUCUGUCAAGGCCGUUCUCUGCUUUGCCAUAAAAUGUGUCCUUGGAACAAGAAUUUCCCCAUUGUCUUCUUCAAUAAAUACUGAUUCAAAGUAUUCAU
rnacentral:lncRNA from 1 species